UACGUAGGGUGCAAGCGUUAAUCGGAAUUACUGGGCGUAAAGCAUGCGCAGGCGGUUUUGUAAGUCUGACGUGAAAUCCCCGGGCUCAACCUGGGAAUUGCGUUGGAGACUGCAAGGCUAGAAUCUGGCAGAGGGGGGUAGAAUUCCACGUGUAGCAGUGAAAUGCGUAGAGAUGUGGAGGAACACCGAUGGCGAAGGCAGCCCCCUGGGUCAAGAUUGACGCUCAUGCACGAAAGCGUGGGGAGCAAACAGG
rnacentral:rRNA from 1 species